GCAGCUCAAGGAAAAGAGGUAUAUCAAAUAGUAAAAGUGAAAAAGUCAUAUAAUAAAAUACUAUAAGAUCACACAAAUAAAUUUUUCUGAACAAUGAAAAUAAUAGACAAAAGAAGGAUAUAAACCAUCUAAAAAAAGCGUAGCUAAUCCACAAUUGACAAGAAAUUUACCAUCUACAUACACCUAGGCAAUGAAACAUUAUUUAAGCAAUAAAUAAAAAACAAUACUAGUAAUAAUUAAUGUUAUAAUAACUCUAGGCCAAUUCUGUACGCUAGAAAAGCUUCCAACGUCCCAAACUUAACCUUUUCAUCAGAAAGAAGCCAAUCAUGUUGUGGAUUCAACCAUCUCAUAUUAGAUGGCUAGUUGACAACAUCCCAUUCAUCACCCAAAACCUUCUUAGCCAAUUUUUCCACACUACAUUUAUUAGCAAUUUCACCAAAAGUAGCCUUUUCCCUUGUCAUAUCCCUCAAGUCAACCCACUUACUAAUCGUCAUAUUAUAAUCCUUCUCUAACUUCUUGACCACAUCUUCAAUCCCUAUGCCAACUACUAUAGUCUUGUUAUCAGACAGUAGUCUCCACAAAGACAGCCUUUCCCUUGCCAUAUCCCUCAAGUCAACCCACUUACUAAUCUUCAUAUUAUAAUCCUUCUCCAACUUCUUGACCACAUCUUCAAUCCCUAUGCCAACUACUAUAGUCUUGUUAUCAGACAAUAGUCUCUAUAAAGACAACUGUGUAUUAUCAUAAUGUUGGUCUAAGUCAUAAAAGAGACAAUGAUUAUCCACACAAAGUUGUAAAAGCUCAAAAGGAGAAUUUGAUACUUUGCCUUUGCAACAGAAUUUGAUACUUUGCCUUUGUCAUAAAAGAGACAACAGUGUAUUAUUAGAGUCUUUUCUUUCUUUUUCUCUCGAGUCUAUUUUAUUUUGGAUACCCAAUUGUUGACUAGGGCAGAAUUUGAACCUAUCCAGUCUGAACCACUCAAUAAAG
rnacentral:lncRNA from 1 species